GGAAAACAUCUUUCCUGUUAAGUAGUGAGCUCCCUGUCCCUUGAGGUGCCUAAACCAAGAAUGGGUCCCACAUUGAGUAAGAGUUGCAAGAAGCGACAAAUGUCCUUAAUAUUUGGGGACACUCUCACCUUGCAUUAGAUUUCACUGGGCUGAGCUGGAUGCUGGUUGCCUGAGAUAUCUCUGAGCAUUUGCUCUGCCCAAAUUGAUUGCACAGCCCCUGGCUAAUGGGCCACAAUCUGCAAUGUUUGAUGACACAAGCUGAGUCCUGUUCUCAUCUUUUUUGGCGGGAUUAGGUGACUUGCUCAAGAGCAUACUGCCAAGCAAAGCCAGGACCAGAACCUGACCUCCAGAACCCAGAACUCCUCCUACUUUUGCACCUAUGAGAACCCUGGAAAAGAUCUUUCCCUCUGCUAGGGUAGGAAAGAGGUGCCUGAGCAGAUCACGGCUAACAUAGCACAACCUAACCACACAUGCAAAGACAGUGCACACUCAAGAUACAAUGGGCAGAAUAAAUACACAAGGAUCCUGCAAGCAGCCGGCAUCCAGCUCAGCCCUGGGAAAUUUAAUGCGAGCCACGGUCUACAGCCUCGACAACAAGGAGAAGCUCUCCUCCAACCAUAGAAUCAUGGAAUGUUGGCUCCAAGUGAAAACCACAGGUCACUUAAUCCACACCCAUCCAAUGGGGAAGUGAAGGCCCAGACAGGUUCCGUUUCUGCCUCACUACUGAGCUCAUCAUGGAAACUGUUGUUGUUCCAUGAAAAAAGGACCCAGGGCAGGGGGAAAGGGGCACAGGGAGAAGUAGGCAUUAACUAGACAAAUGUGAAACACAGCAAAAGCCAGUGUCUUGCCAGGGGCCUGACCAGCUUAGGGCAGGGGUCUUGUGAGCUCCAGGGUGUCAGCUCGCCUGGGUUGGGCCAUCAGGCAUUAUGUAACCAAGCAGAGGCUCCAAGAAACACCUAAGCUGGCCUGGUGUUCAUCCCAGAAAGCGGUUUUCUGCUAUUUCCUAUAGAGGGAAGUUUUGCUGAGCACAGGAUUUUCAGCAUUUUCCAUCAUUCGUUAUUAAGAAAAGCAGGAGACAAAAUAUAAAAUCCUUUCCUGAGAUUGCCAGAAUCUUCAAGUUUUGGAAAAGAAAGUUUAAGCUCGGUCCCGUGGGUUCCUAGAGGCCUGGGGCUUCUGAGGCAACAGGAGCUGGUCCCACAUUGAAAUCUUUUCAUAAAUCAGGCAGCUCCCCUAGGGCCAGACGUGGAAGCCGGUGCUGAGCCCUCAGAACGUGGCUGCCGCAUCAGUCCGAGCCAACGCCGCUCCAGGAGGAAAAUGGUGGGAGGACCAGGAGACUAGCACAGAAACAUCAAGAGCCCUGGAGGACACAGCUCUGUUUAGGUGCUCUAAGUUGGCUUAGGGAGGAGGGCGGGGUUGGAAAAAGACCCCACUAAAAUUUUAUUUCCACCAAAAAUAUUCAUCAUUAACAUUCUCAGCUCUGUCUUUUUUUUAAAGACAGGGUCUCACUGUGUUCUCACUAUGUUGCUUAGGCUGGUCUCAAACUCCUGGGCUCAAGCAAUCCUCCCACCACCUUGGCCUUUGAAAGUGCUGGGAUUACAGGUGUGAGCCACCAUGUCCAACCUCAUCUCUCUGUUGUUUUUUUUUUUUUUUUGAGUC
rnacentral:lncRNA from 1 species